AGCGAACGCUGGCGGCAGGCCUAACACAUGCAAGUCGAACGGACCCUUCGGGGUUAGUGGCGGACGGGUGAGUAACACGUGGGAACGUGCCCUUUGGUACGGAAUAACUCAGGGAAACUUGAGCUAAUACCGUAUGUGCCCUUCGGGGGAAAGAUUUAUCGCCAUUGGAGCGGCCCGCGUCUGAUUAGCUAGUUGGUGAGGUAAAGGCUCACCAAGGCGACGACGGGUAGCCGGCCUGAGAGGGUGACCGGCCACACUGGGACUGAGACACGGCCCAGACUCCUACGGGAGGCAGCAGUGGGGAAUAUUGCACAAUGGGCGAAAGCCUGAUGCAGCAACGCCGCGUGAGGGAUGAAGGCCUUCGGGUUGUAAACCUCUUUUAGCAGGGAAGAAGCGAAAGUGACGGUACCUGCAGAAAAAGCACCGGCUAACUACGUG
rnacentral:rRNA from 1 species